GACGAACGCUGGCGGCGUGCCUAAUACAUGCAAGUUGAGCGCUGAAGGUUGGUACUUGUACCAACUGGAUGAGCAGCGAACGGGUGAGUAACGCGUGGUGAAUCUGCCUUUGAGCGGGGGACAACAUUUGGAAACGAAUGCUAAUACCGCAUAAAAACUUUAAACACAAGUUUUAAGUUUGAAAGAUGCAAUUGCAUCACUCAAAGAUGAUCCCGCGUUGUAUUAGCUAGUUGGUGAGGUAAAGGCUCACCAAGGCGAUGAUACAUAGCCGACCUGAGAGGGUGAUAGGCCACAUUGGGACUGAGACACGGCCCAAAAUCCUACGGGAGGCAGCAGUAGGGAAUCUUCGGCAAUGGACGAAAGUCUGACCGAGCAACGCCGCGUGAGUGAAGAAGGUUUUCGGAUCGUAAAACUCUGUUGGUAGAGAAGAACGUUGGUGAGAGUGGAAAGCUCAUCAAGUGACGGUAACUACCCAGAAAGGGACGGCUAACUACGUG
rnacentral:rRNA from 1 species